rnacentral:rRNA from 1 species
GAGUUUGAUCGUGGCUCAGGAUGAACGCUGGCGGCGUGCCUAACACAUGCAAGUCGAACGGAUCCAUAUUGAAACCUAGUGAUGUAUGGAUUAGUGGCGGACGGGUGAGUAACGCGUGGAUAACCUGCCGUAUACAGGGGAUAACACUUAGAAAUAGGUGCUAAUACCGCAUAAGCGCACGGUUCCGCAUGGAACAGUGUGAAAAAACUCCGGUGGUAUACGAUGGAUCCGCGUCUGAUUAGCCAGUUGGCGGGGUAACGGCCCACCAAAGCGACGAUCAGUAGCCGGCCUGAGAGGGUGAACGGCCACAUUGGGACUGAGACACGGCCCAAACUCCUACGGGAGGCAGCAGUGGGGAAUAUUGCACAAUGGGGGAAACCCUGAUGCAGCGACGCCGCGUGAGUGAAGAAGUAUCUCGGUACGUAAAGCUCUAUCAGCAGGGAAGAAAAUGACGGUACCUGACUAAGAAGCCCCGGCUAACUACGUGCCAGCCGCCGCCGU